UACGAAGGGGGCUAGCGUUGUUCGGAAUUACUGGGCGUAAAGCGCGUGUAGGCGGGUCCUUAAGUCAGGGGUGAAAUGCCAAGGCUCAACCUUGGAACUGCCUUUGAUACUGGAGACCUUGAGUCCGGGAGAGGUGAGUGGAAUUGCGAGUGUAGAGGUGAAAUUCGUAGAUAUUCGCAAGAACACCAGUGGCGAAGGCGGCUCACUGGCCCGGAACUGACGCUGAGACGCGAAAGCGUGGGGAGCGAACAGG
rnacentral:rRNA from 1 species